CGACAGCUCGCUUUUGUCCCCACCGCCCACGUCGCUCCUUCCUUCCUCGGACCAUUCCGCCGCAAAUGCCAGCAAUUCGACUGCGCCGCCUGAUGAUGCUCCCUAUCCGCCCAUAGCCUCGCCAGCCGCCAUAGCACAAUCCAUCGUCGGUGAAGUCAACCACCGCCCACUCCCGGCUCCCCGGAUCCUCCUACCAUGGAGCGAGCUCGCGAUCUGCCCCGGACAGACCCAACCACCUACCCCUUUCUCUUCCCGGCGAGGAUGCGCGGCCGGUGAGCCUGGGAGGCUGGGAUGGAGCACGAAGAGGGAGAUGAUCCAUGAAGUGCAGGCCCCAGCCGUACGCCAAGGCGCUCUGCUUCUCCGCGCCCUGCCUCCGGAACCGCCUCCUCGUGCUCGCCGCGAGCGUGAACUGGCCGGCGCCGCCCCACGCCGUCCCGCUCCCUACGUAGGGUGAUGGGUCCUCCGGGACUCCGCCUUCGACCCACAGGUCCGCGCCCCGCUGUGGCAGCAGUCAACAGUGCGAGGUCGAAAUCGGCGCCGGCGUCCACCUCCAUUGAGAAGAGGAUGGCAGGCGGCGCGCCGUGCGGGGUGAAGCUUCUGCAUACCCUGAACGUGGGUGGUCGCUGUGCUGUGGCGGCGGGGUGGCGCUGCAGUCACGGGUCUUGACAAGGAGCGGAGUGGGGGCAGCGGCGGUGAAGGAUUUGAGGUGACGACGUCCUUCCACGCCAGUGUCGAAGAUCUCCAGGCAAAUGUGAUGGGGCACCUGCGCGACACCGCGUACCAUCACGUCACGGCAUGCUCCAGUCCUCCCAUUGUUGACAGAUAUUGGGUGUUCCUCAAUCCUCAUCUAGGAGAGCGAUCCUAUCUUCUUCAGUGGGGGAUCCCCCAUCACGCGAUUCACACCGAGUCUUCCGCAUCAGCAAUUGUCCACGUCUUUUUGCGCAAGCAACAGUGGGAAGUAAGUUGAUCAGGCCCGUUGUAGUGGAGUUGGGCAACUGCUCUCUUUGCCUUGCUGCCAUCUUGCUCCACAAAUAAAUUUUCACGCUGCUCAUGUGUUCUGGCAAGUUCAGUUUGCCGUUUGAAGCUGGUGGCAAGAAAAUGUGGCUGUACGUACAGAGUAGUUCGCCAAAUCCCUUCCUCAGCGUCAUCAGCUGCAGGAAACAGUAUAUCUAGACAGUUGUUUAUCUUUUGCUUUUAAGCAUUAUCUCCUGUUAAACAUGGUCAUCAAUUACUUAGCCUGUAAGGAAUACAUAUAUUUUCUCACUUAUUUUUUAUCAAAGAAGUCAUAUAGUUGCAUGGUUUGAUUAACUUCACAAGGGACUAUUGUUUCAACAACCAGUAAGUGACACAAGAUAUUUUCUCUCUUUUCGACUGGAAUAAAGUCAUGGAUGGUUAUUUUGUGUUUGCUUCAAAUCCCUGAAUUUUUUAUUCUUUUGCGACCAUGAACUAUUGAUUUGCAUGAGUAGAAAUUUAGCCAGGUGUACUGUAAGUGCAUUCUUUGUUUGUGGACAAUACUGCUAUUUGAUUUUUAGUUAAAGGAUAGGUAUUCCAACUCCCCUUCUUAUUCUGAAUUUUUAGAAAUGCAUUCUUUUACUCCACGGUCCACGCUCAUACUGAUAUGCUCCUCACUACCUGAUGUGCUUAUAAGCAAGAAAUGUGUAGUUAGUUGACAGGUUCAUCUGAGAACCUGCCACUCCCAUUUGUUAUAUCUUUGGCAAGCAACCAUCGUUGGAAAUAUUUUACAUCAUAAGAAGUGCAAAGUGAAGUAGACAAGCAGAACUUGUGGUUUAUUUUAUGUACAUCUGCUCAAAAGCAAAGUGAAGUACAGAAGUUGCUGAUGAGUGCAGCACCUGUUGUUUUCUUUAUAGAGAAAUUGAGCUAGACAGGUCUUUAAAGAGAGGUACACAAAUCCUUUCCCUAACACAUUCUGUACUUUACCCUAUUUUACAUAUAGAUUUAUUUUGAGUGUGCAUAUAGUUCCUUUCACUGUUUGCGUUCACAAAUGGGAUUAGGCAGUUAUGUAAAUUCUAGCUUACACUAACUGUCGUAGCUUAUGUUAUCUGCAAGAACUUCUACUCCAUCCAUAUGUCUUGGUAGUGCUAACAGAAACAUCAGUCUUACCCCAUGUUAUCAACAUACGAAUGCCAUUAUUCGUAGAUAGCGAGAUAUAUAGGAAAUAUGGGCAAUUAAGUUAUUCUCUAGAUUUUUCCUUUAUCCACUAUGGGAUUUCAAUCAUGUCUUUGUUACAAGGAACCCCCACAACAAUAGCUAUAUGCUCAUAUUUCAUAUUUGCAUAGCCACCAACGUUUGCGCCUCUUCUCCUCGAACUUCGGCGAAUUGCUUGGCUGCAUGCCCGUCAAACACGACUACCAGCUGCGCAUCUAUUCGCUCCUCGCAGGGUGUCAUAGGACAACCCCUUCCUUUCCACAUAUACUAAUAACGCAAUUCUUAGGCUCAGGAAAAAAAAUUAGUAUCCAUGAUUGUUUCAUCGAACAGUAUCAACUUAUAAUCUCACAUGUUUUAUUGAGCAAAUGUUGCCACUGGGAGUUAUGCUUUACAUAACCACACCUGGUACUACAGGAUCUACAAGCUGUAUUGCAGAGUGUUGCUUCUUCUACACUAAUUACUAAAUUUGGUUAAUAUAGUACAUGCCAGUAAUAUAAGUAAGAGUCGUAAGACACAUGUGUAUAUCUAUAGUUUUUAUUAUGUCCUCCAAAAAAAACUCAAUAUAAAAUCUGAAGAUGCUUUGGUGAAUCUUUAGUAAAAAGAUAAGCAAUAAUUAGGUGUAGAAUGGUCAUUGAAAGGACACGGAUGUCGCCUAGAGGGGGGUGAAUAGGCGGUUUAAAACUUUUACGAGAUGGACUUAACAAAUGCGGAAUAAAACUAGCGUUUACUUUGUCAAGCCCAAAGCCUAUAUACUAUGGUUCACCUAUGUGCACCAACAACUUAUGCUAAGCAAUACAAGCAACUUAUGUGAUAGCAAGAUAUAUAACUUCAAGCACGAUGGCUAUCACAAAGUAAAGUGCAUAAGUAAGGAGCUCGGGUAUAGAGAUAACCGAGGCACGCGGGAGACGACGAUGUAGCCCGAAUUUCACACUCUUGCGAGUGCUACUCUCCGUUGGAGCGGUGUGGAGGACAAGUCACUCCAAAAGCACGAUGGCCACCGUAUUCUCCUCGAGAAUUACCACCAAGAGGGAUGUCCUCGAACCACUAUGUAACCUUAGGGAGGUUACCGAACCCGCACAAAGCUUGGGGCUAUCUCCACAACUUAAUUGGAGGCUCCCAACAAAUUGCCACAAACGCCUUGCCCUUGAAGAAUCUCCACAACUUAAUUGGAGUCCCCAAGAACACCACUAAGAUGCCACAAAGGCCUUACCCUUGAAGAUUCUCCACAACUUAAUUGGAUUCCCCAAGAACACCACAAAGAUGCCACAAAGGCCUAGAAUUCGUCUAGAGUUCCAAGAACCCACGAGUAACAACUUUCUUGUUUUCACCUCCACGAAUCACCGUGGAGAACUCAAACCGAUGCACCAAAUACAAUGGCAAGAACACCACAAAGAUGCUCAAGUCCUUCUCUCUCAAAUUCCAACAAAGCUACAAAAGCUAUUGGGGGAAUAAGAGAGGAAGAACAAAUGAAUUCACAAAGAACACCAAGAUCAAGAUCUAGAGGGUUCCACUCACAAAGAGAUGGAUUUGAUUGGUAGAAAUGUAGAUCUAGAUCUCCUCUCUCUUUUCCCUCAAGAAUAUGCAAGAAUCAUGAGAGGAAUCAAGAACUAGGACAAGCUUUGAAGUACAACAAUGGAGGGGAGAGAGAGAAAGUGAACCAACCAGCCCAAGGAGGAAGAAGGGGGUCUUAUAUACCCCCUCCCAACGAAAUAUGACCGUUUGGGACCUCCCAGGCCGGAAAAUCCGCCCCCGGGCCGGAUUAUCCGCCCCUCGAAAAUCGCCCCUGGACUGGGCCGGAUAUU